GCCGUAGGGGGCCAGCGUUGUUCGGAAUUACUGGGCGUAAAGGGUUCGUAGGCGGUGCGGCAAGUCGGGGGUGAAAUCUCUGGGCUUAACCCAGAGGCUGCUUCCGAAACUGCUGUGCUUGAGUGUGGGAGAGGCGCGUGGAAUUGCAGGUGUAGCGGUGAAAUGCGUAGAUAUCUGCAGGAACACCCGUGGCGAAAGCGGCGCGCUGGACCACUACUGACGCUGAGGAACGAAAGCUAGGGGAGCAAACAGG
rnacentral:rRNA from 1 species